rnacentral:rRNA from 1 species
UGCAAGUCGAACGAACUCUGGUAUUGAUUGGUGCUUGCAUCAUGAUUUACAUUUGAGUGAGUGGCGAACUGGUGAGUAACACGUGGGAAACCUGCCCAGAAGCGGGGGAUAACACCUGGAAACAGAUGCUAAUACCGCAUAACAACUUGGACCGCAUGGUCCGAGUUUGAAAGAUGGCUUCGGCUAUCACUUUUGGAUGGUCCCGCGGCGUAUUAGCUAGAUGGUGAGGUAACGGCUCACCAUGGCAAUGAUACGUAGCCGACCUGAGAGGGUAAUCGGCCACAUUGGGACUGAGACACGGCCCAAACUCCUACGGGAGGCAGCAGUAGGGAAUCUUCCACAAUGGACGAAAGUCUGAUGGAGCAACGCCGCGUGAGUGAAGAAGGGUUUCGGCUCGUAAAACUCUGUUGUUAAAGAAGAACAUAUCUGAGAGUAACUGUUCAGGUAUUGACGGUAUUUAACCAGAAAGCCACGGCUAACUACGUGCCAGCAGCCGCGGUAAUACGUAGGUGGCAAGCGUUGUCCGGAUUUAUUGGGCGUAAAGCGAGCGCAGGCGGUUUUUUAAGUCUGAUGUGAAAGCCUUCGGCUCAACCGAAGAAGUGCAUCGGAAACUGGGAAACUUGAGUGCAGAAGAGGACAGUGGAACUCCAUGUGUAGCGGUGAAAUGCGUAGAUAUAUGGAAGAACACCAGUGGCGAAGGCGGCUGUCUGGUCUGUAACUGACGCUGAGGCUCGAAAGUAUGGGUAGCAAACAGGAUUAGAUACCCUGGUAGUCCAUACCGUAAACGAUGAAUGCUAAGUGUUGGAGGGUUUCCGCCCUUCAGUGCUGCAGCUAACGCAUUAAGCAUUCCGCCUGGGGAGUACGGCCGCAAGGCUGAAACUCAAAGGAAUUGACGGGGGCCCGCACAAGCGGUGGAGCAUGUGGUUUAAUUCGAAGCUACGCGAAGAACCUUACCAGGUCUUGACAUACUAUGCAAAUCUAAGAGAUUAGACGUUCCCUUCGGGGACAUGGAUACAGGUGGUGCAUGGUUGUCGUCAGCUCGUGUCGUGAGAUGUUGGGUUAAGUCCCGCAACGAGCGCAACCCUUAUUAUCAGUUGCCAGCAUUAAGUUGGGCACUCUGGUGAGACUGCCGGUGACAAACCGGAGGAAGGUGGGGAUGACGUCAAAUCAUCAUGCCCCUUAUGACCUGGGCUACACACGUGCUACAAUGGAUGGUACAACGAGUUGCGAACUCGCGAGAGUAAGCUAAUCUCUUAAAGCCAUUCUCAGUUCGGAUUGUAGGCUGCAACUCGCCUACAUGAAGUCGGAAUCGCUAGUAAUCGCGGAUCAGCAUGCCGCGGUGAAUACGUUCCCGGGCCUUGUACACACCGCCCGUCACACCAUGAGAGUUUGUAACACCCAAAGUCGGUGGGGUAACCUUUUAGGAACCAGCCGCCUAAGGUGGGACAGAUGAUUAGGGUGAAGUCGUAACA